rfam:Picea glauca, whole genome shotgun sequence.
UACCUGGUUGAUCCUGCCAGUAGUCAUAUGCUUGUCUCAAAGAUUAAGCCAUGCAUGUCUAAGUAUGAACUAAUUUAGACUGUGAAACUGCGGAUGGAUCAUUAAAUCCGUUAUAGUUUCUUUGAUGGUACCCUACUACUCGGAUAACCAUAGUAAUUCUAGAGCUAAUACGUGCACCAAGUCCCGACUCUUUGGAAGGGAUGCAUUUAUUAGAUAA